GGUUAAGCGACUAAGCGUACACGGUGGAUGCCCUGGCAGUCAGAGGCGAUGAAGGACGUGCUAAUCUGCGAUAAGCGUCGGUAAGGUGAUAUGAACCGUUAUAACCGGCGAUUUCCGAAUGGGGAAACCCAGUGUGUUUCGACACACUAUCAUUAACUGAAUCCAUAGGUUAAUGAGGCGAACCGGGGGAACUGAAACAUCUAAGUACCCCGAGGAAAAGAAAUCAACCGAGAUUCCCCCAGUAGCGGCGAGCGAACGGGGAGCAGCCCAGAGCCUGAAUCAGUGUGUGUGUUAGUGGAAGCGUCUGGAAAGGCGCGCGAUACAGGGUGACAGCCCCGUACACAAAAAUGCACAUAUUGUGAGCUCGAUGAGUAGGGCGGGACACGUGGUAUCCUGUCUGAAUAUGGGGGGACCAUCCUCCAAGGCUAAAUACUCCUGACUGACCGAUAGUGAACCAGUACCGUGAGGGAAAGGCGAAAAGAACCCCGGCGAGGGGAGUGAAAAAGAACCUGAAACCGUGUACGUACAAGCAGUGGGAGCCUCUUUUAUGGGGUGACUGCGUACCUUUUGUAUAAUGGGUCAGCGACUUAUAUUCUGUAGCAAGGUUAACCGAAUAGGGGAGCCGAAGGGAAACCGAGUCUUAACUGGGCGUUAAGUUGCAGGGUAUAGACCCGAAACCCGGUGAUCUAGCCAUGGGCAGGUUGAAGGUUGGGUAACACUAACUGGAGGACCGAACCGACUAAUGUUGAAAAAUUAGCGGAUGACUUGUGGCUGGGGGUGAAAGGCCAAUCAAACCGGGAGAUAGCUGGUUCUCCCCGAAAGCUAUUUAGGUAGCGCCUCGUGAAUUCAUCUCCGGGGGUAGAGCACUGUUUCGGCAAGGGGGUCAUCCCGACUUACCAACCCGAUGCAAACUGCGAAUACCGGAGAAUGUUAUCACGGGAGACACACGGCGGGUGCUAACGUCCGUCGUGAAGAGGGAAACAACCCAGACCGCCAGCUAAGGUCCCAAAGUCAUGGUUAAGUGGGAAACGAUGUGGGAAGGCCCAGACAGCCAGGAUGUUGGCUUAGAAGCAGCCAUCAUUUAAAGAAAGCGUAAUAGCUCACUGGUCGAGUCGGCCUGCGCGGAAGAUGUAACGGGGCUAAACCAUGCACCGAAGCUGCGGCAGCGACACUAUGUGUUGUUGGGUAGGGGAGCGUUCUGUAAGCCUGCGAAGGUGUGCUGUGAGGCAUGCUGGAGGUAUCAGAAGUGCGAAUGCUGACAUAAGUAACGAUAAAGCGGGUGAAAAGCCCGCUCGCCGGAAGACCAAGGGUUCCUGUCCAACGUUAAUCGGGGCAGGGUGAGUCGACCCCUAAGGCGAGGCCGAAAGGCGUAGUCGAUGGGAAACAGGUUAAUAUUCCUGUACUUGGUGUUACUGCGAAGGGGGGACGGAGAAGGCUAUGUUGGCCGGGCGACGGUUGUCCCGGUUUAAGCGUGUAGGCUGGUUUUCCAGGCAAAUCCGGAAAAUCAAGGCUGAGGCGUGAUGACGAGGCACUACGGUGCUGAAGCAACAAAUGCCCUGCUUCCAGGAAAAGCCUCUAAGCAUCAGGUAACAUUAAAUCGUACCCCAAACCGACACAGGUGGUCAGGUAGAGAAUACCAAGGCGCUUGAGAGAACUCGGGUGAAGGAACUAGGCAAAAUGGUGCCGUAACUUCGGGAGAAGGCACGCUGAUAUGUAGGUGAAGUCCCUCGCGGAUGGAGCUGAAAUCAGUCGAAGAUACCAGCUGGCUGCAACUGUUUAUUAAAAACACAGCACUGUGCAAACACGAAAGUGGACGUAUACGGUGUGACGCCUGCCCGGUGCCGGAAGGUUAAUUGAUGGGGUUAGCGGUAACGCGAAGCUCUUGAUCGAAGCCCCGGUAAACGGCGGCCGUAACUAUAACGGUCCUAAGGUAGCGAAAUUCCUUGUCGGGUAAGUUCCGACCUGCACGAAUGGCGUAAUGAUGGCCAGGCUGUCUCCACCCGAGACUCAGUGAAAUUGAACUCGCUGUGAAGAUGCAGUGUACCCGCGGCAAGACGGAAAGACCCCGUGAACCUUUACUAUAGCUUGACACUGAACAUUGAGCCUUGAUGUGUAGGAUAGGUGGGAGGCUUAGAAGUGUGGACGCCAGUCUGCAUGGAGCCGACCUUGAAAUACCACCCUUUAAUGUUUGAUGUUCUAACGUGGACCCGUGAUCCGGGUUGCGGACAGUGUCUGGUGGGUAGUUUGACUGGGGCGGUCUCCUCCUAAAGAGUAACGGAGGAGCACGAAGGUUGGCUAAUCCUGGUCGGACAUCAGGAGGUUAGUGCAAUGGCAUAAGCCAGCUUGACUGCGAGCGUGACGGCGCGAGCAGGUGCGAAAGCAGGUCAUAGUGAUCCGGUGGUUCUGAAUGGAAGGGCCAUCGCUCAACGGAUAAAAGGUACUCCGGGGAUAACAGGCUGAUACCGCCCAAGAGUUCAUAUCGACGGCGGUGUUUGGCACCUCGAUGUCGGCUCAUCACAUCCUGGGGCUGAAGUAGGUCCCAAGGGUAUGGCUGUUCGCCAUUUAAAGUGGUACGCGAGCUGGGUUUAGAACGUCGUGAGACAGUUCGGUCCCUAUCUGCCGUGGGCGCUGGAGAACUGAGGGGGGCUGCUCCUAGUACGAGAGGACCGGAGUGGACGCAUCACUGGUGUUCGGGUUGUCAUGCCAAUGGCACUGCCCGGUAGCUAAAUGCGGAAGAGAUAAGUGCUGAAAGCAUCUAAGCACGAAACUUGCCCCGAGAUGAGUUCUCCCUGACCCUUUAAGGGUCCUGAAGGAACGUUGAAGACGACGACGUUGAUAGGCCGGGUGUGUAAGCGCAGCGAUGCGUUGAGCUAACCGGUACUAAUGAACCGUGAGGCUUAACCUU
rnacentral:rRNA from 1 species